AAGGGUAUGGCUGUUCGCCAUUUAAAGAGGUACGCGAGCUGGGUUUAGAACGUCGUGAGACAGUUCGGUCCCUAUCUGCCGUGGGCGCUGGAGAAUUGAGGGGGGCUGCUCCUAGUACGAGAGGACCGGAGUGGACGCAUCACUGGUGUUCGGGUUGUCAUGCCAAUGGCACUGCCCGGUAGCUAAAUGCGGAAGAGAUAAGUGCUGAAAGCAUCUAAGCACGAAACUUGCCCCGAGAUGAGUUCUCCCUGAGACUAUAAGUCUCCUGAAGGAACGUUAAAGACGAUGACGUUGAUAGGCCGGGUGUGUAAGCGCAGCGAUGCGUUGAGCUAACCGGUACUAAUGAACCGUGAGGCUUAACCUUACAACGCCGAAG
rnacentral:rRNA from 1 species